AGAAGCAGAUCACCCACAGAUCACAACUGCCACUGGGACAAGACAGAAGUGCAUUGGGUGGAUAUAUGCUACCGCUAUGUCAGUGGUUUAGUAUUUCCAGGUGAUUAGAACAUGAAGAGCAGGUACCUGGUUAUCAAUUUGGAGUGUGUAAAGGACCAUACUUCUGGGAAAAGAGGUUUAUUAGAGAUAGGUUGGGUGCUGAGAAGGUGUUCUCCAAGACUCGGUGGGAAGUAGCAGUACUAGAUAGGCAGAAUCUCCAAUUGAGGACGCUGGCACUUGUGUUUUGAGUACAUUUGUGCCAAGAGUCAUCAAAAGUACACUGGAUUUGGGUCUGAACCUAUGUCUGCCUACAUAUUGCCUGCUUUUGUCAAGAGGAUAUCAAUGACGAAAACAUCCUAGACUGCUGGAACUAGGAAUCAGUAAAUGGAGACUCACACAAAACUUAUGUGGCCAGGAUCUCUGAACUCCAAAUGUUGCUGAUUCACAGUGUCUCCUCUGACUAUGACCCUGACUUAUCUUUGAGAAAUUUGAAAUUCAUUUUCUCUAGAAUGAACAUCCUUGGAUCUAAAGGCCUUCAUGCCAGAAAUGAAGAAGGAAGCUGCAUGUUCAGAACAAGACAGAUGUGCUGUCCCUUACCCACCUCCUUCAGCCUCCUCGUUCAUGGUGAACCUCUACACUCUUCAUUCUGGUCUUUAGACCCAAGAAAUGCUGGACAUCUUUUACUUUCAGCAGAUUCUAAUCUCUCUCUGGCUCUGUCUAUCUUCUUUUAGGACUAAUUCCCUGAAACGCCUUCAUAAUUCAUUUGAAGACUUAGCUCACUCAUUAGUAAAAGCUCCUUUAUUCUCAGUCACUUCUGCAGACAUUAGCUUUCACUUUUCUGCUCUAACAGGAAUCUGGCUCUCUCUCCUGUGACAUCAUUCCCUGAAAUCCACUCAAAUGAAGAUUGAGUUGAUCUUUCUAUCCCUUAUUCUUCCCACUUUUGAGCUGGGCUAAGGGUCCUUUUUAUUCCACAUUGUCACACACAAACUGCUCUGCCCUCCUUCCCCCUAAAGACUUGUUUCCUGGGGUGCCUGGGUGGUUCAGUUGGUUAAGUGUCCGACUCUUGAUCUCAGCUCAGGUCUUGAUGUUAGGGUCAUGAGUUCAAGCCUCACACUGGGUUCUAUGUCCAGUGUGGAGCCUACUUAAAAAAAGAAAAAAGAAGAAGACGACUUGCUGUUUCCUUAAAGCACCCGCCUUCCAAGUAUACCACCCACUCACUACCCUA